rnacentral:rRNA from 1 species
CCUACGGGAGGCAGCAGUGGGGAAUAUUGCACAAUGGGGGAAACCCUGAUGCAGCGACGCCGCGUGAGUGAAGAGGUAUUUCGGUACGUAAAGCUCUAUCAGCAGGGAAGCAAAUGACGGUACCUGACUAAGAAGCCCCGGCUAACUACGUGCCAGCAGCCGCGGUAAUACGUAGGGGGCAAGCGUUAUCCGGAUUUACUGGGUGUAAAGGGAGCGUAGACGGCAGCGCAAGUCUGGAGUGAAAUCCCAUGGCUUAACCAUGGAACUGCUGUGGAAACUGUGCAGCUAGAGUGCAGGAGAGGUAAGCGGAAUGCCUAGUGUAGCGGUGAAAUGCGUAGAUAUUAGGGGGAACACCAGUGGCGAAGGCGGCUUACUGGACUGUAACUGACGUUGAGGCUCGAAAGCGUGGGGAGCAAACAGGAUUAGAUACCCGGGUAGUC